AAAACAGUUACAGAGUUUAACUGCCUUGCUCAGGGGCAGAAGAACAGAUUUUUACCUAUGCGUCUGUAUUUCAUUUUCAAUAAAUUUGCUAACAUUUCCCCAAAAACAUGUUUUAAUGUUGUCAUUAUGGGGAAUUGUGUGUUGGUGGUGAGAGAAGUAAUCAAUUUAAUCUAUUUUGAAUUCAGACUGUAGCACAACAAAAGUGGAAUAAGUCAAGGGGUAUGAAUACUUCCUGAAGGCACUGUUAGUCUCAUUUGAAUUUGAUUCUAAUGAAGAGCAUGGUUUGUUCUUUCUCUGCUUCCUCUGUGGGCUUACAAAAGAGGGAGGCACAGAGAAAGGGGAGGAGGCAGGGGCGGUGGCCAUUUUCUCUCUACCUCGAAGAUUUCACCGAAUCAGUGAGGAUUCAGUAAUACACCUGUCGUUAAGACUAAUUAAUGAAUUAAUACGUUUUUGACGACUGGCUAUGGAAGCUCCUGCAUAAUAUCACGUGUUAACGAUUCAUCUGUACAAUAGGUCUACCAAUAGGACAAAAAAAUGAAAAAGGGACCGUUGCAUUUUUGGGGUCGAAAGAACCAGUCUCUCUUCGAUACCAAUAUUAAAAUCAAGGAGAUGGACAAUGUUGAGCUGGUGUUGGAUUCAUCAGCCAUUCCUGAAUCAGGCACUGCCAAAGUGAGGUCCAGACCCGCAGUCAAGCACUACAUGUCCUCCUCUGAUGUUGUGCAAGGGUUUGCUGUCCCAACACCCAAAGUUCCUGUCCUCCCCCCUUUCAACAGUCCAAAGAUCAACAGGGCAGUAAAUGCCGAUCGGUUUUCCAAUGGAUCGGCUAUAUCUGUGCCCGAUUUGGUGGAUGGGGAGAUAUUUAUUCCACCUCCCCCUACAAUGGCACCCCCACCCCCCCCACCCAUGUUCAUCCCUCCCCCACCAGAUUUCUUGGGUGACUUGGACUCCCUUCAGCCUCCCUCCAUGCCCCCUCCAAAACCUCCAUCAGUGCUUCUGUCUAAAGAGUACGAGGAUUUCACCUCCCUGAAACCUCCACUAAUGCGCCCCCCGAAGCCCCCGUCAACUUCCUCCAGUGCUUCUAGUUCAUCUUUGUCCAUUUCUAUACCAACACCAGUCCCUGAUUUUACUGAGCCCCCAAAGUUUGCCCCUCCACAGCCCCCUAUAGACAUGAGACAAGCUGCUCUGAAAGCCCUGAAGACCCCGCCUCCAAAGCCAACAAGGCUGUCCUCCAUCCACAGCAUGGACGAAGCCUCCCAGGUUCCAGCCCAAGCUUCCCCAGUACAGACCCCAACACCCUCCAGCUUCAACCCCCAGAACACAGCUAAGCUGGUCAAGCAGGAAGCGUCUCCAGGCCGGAAUAACAAGUUCAGUCCUAUGCUGGACAGUAAACUACGCAACCUGAAGGCCAGUGAUGUCACUGGGAUGAGGGGGGACGGUCCUGCCGCUUCCCCCCUGGCUUUUCUCAUGGCGGCUAAAGAGCGAGAGAGGCACAGGUCCAGUCUUUCCCUUGAAAACAGCACAAAGAGUAAUGAGCCAUUAUCCAGCAUCCAGCACAGUGAAUUCAAUCCCAAUUCUUUCACCGUCAUCCCUAGGGCCACCUCAUUCACUUCUGUAACCUCACAACAUAAACCACAGUCUGUGGUCCCACUGGAGGCCACAGUGGUAAUCCAGAUUCCAGCAAAACCCCAGAUUAUUGAGUCAGCGGUGAAGGGGCCAAUUGCAAAUCCAGCAGUUAAAAGGAUUCUGCCCACCUCUAGAUCCUCAUCCUCCAGCAGUCUAGCCAUGGAGAAGCAAAGUGGAGAGCAGAGGAUUGAUUCACCCUCUAGCCUUGUCAGGGAUGACGAGAACCUAUGCAUGCCAUUACUCCCUCCCCCUCCCGAAUUCGAUGACCAUGAUGUCGUGGACUCUCCUCCCAGCUCACCUCCACCUGACCCUCCACUGAAGAAGGUCCUCCCUCCCACUCCCAGCCCUGUCCUUCCAGUCCUGUCCUCUACUGCCAACCCUGUCCUUCCUGUCAAAACUCCCUCGCCUCCCCCUCCAAAACCUAAAUCUCCAAGCCCUCCCAAAUUCCCACCUCCUGUCAUGGAGAUCAAACCCAAACUGCCUGUUCAGAUCAAACCCAAGCCGCCUCCUACCCAGGCCCUCUCAGCCAGCCAGGCCACACUCCAGAGCAUCCUGCAGAAGAAGAUGCUAGAGAUGGACUGCAAAAUGGACAACAAAAUGCUGGCCAUGAAGGAAACAGACUCUGAUGACUGGGGGUCUCCCUUGUCUGAUGAGACCAAGUUCCCGGUUGUCCCCAGAGUCAUCCCGAAAAACCCUGUUAUCACUACAAAGAGCAAGAGUGCCACUGUGCCAGCCACAACACAAGGAGUUGACAUGAAGGAGCUGGAGACAAAAAUGGCCAUGAAAGUUCAGGGUUUGUCAGAGCCAUCAAGAGUUCCCACAAGCAAUGGGCCACGGUCAAAGCAGGCGUAUGGCAUGACUUUCAUGGUACAACCCGGAACCAAACAACCAAUCACUGUUGUCAGCAAAUGA
ensembl:lncRNA